UACGUAGGGUGCUAGCGUUGUCCGGAUUUAUUGGGCGUAAAGAGCUCGUAGGCGGUCUGUCGCGUCGGCUGUGAAAACCCGGAGCUCAACUCCGGGCCUGCAGUCGAUACGGGCAGACUGGAGUUCGGCAGGGGAGACUGGAAUUCCUGGUGUAGCGGUGAAAUGCGCAGAUAUCAGGAGGAACACCGGUGGCGAAGGCGGGGUCUCUGGGCCGGAACUGACGCUGAGGAGCGAAAGCGUGGGGAGCGAACAGG
rnacentral:rRNA from 1 species